rnacentral:rRNA from 1 species
GUCAAAAUUGGCAUGUGAUACCUUUUCGGAAAGCCCAAAGAGAGCCCUCUGACGAAAGAAGCAAGACAAUGGAACAUUUCCAUUGACUUUUUGUCGACUCCAAAUUUUGACCUUUAAGUACUUUUUCGGGCAUUUUCGUGAUUUGUGCUAUAUUACGGACCCAAAAUUACUUUUUCAAGCAUUGUUUUCGAAUAUUUUUCAUGCAUCAAAGCUCGUUAAGACUAGAUGGGGUAUCCCUACAUGGCGGGUGGGACCCACGGCGAACGGUUCAUCAAGACUUAAAAAAAGAAUAGAUACGAUUGCAUUGCAUAUACUAACGGAUGCGAUCAUACCAGCACUAAUGCACCGGAUCCCAUCAGAACUCCGCAGUUAAGCGUGCUUGGGCGAGAGUAGUACUAGGAUGGGUGAUCUCCCGGGAAGUCCUCGUGUNGCAUCCCUCUUUUUUUUUUUUUUUUUUUUGGUUAAAACUUUAUGACUCCAUAACUUUUACACCGAGA